GAUGAACGCUGGCGGCGUGCCUAAUACAUGCAAGUCGAGCGAACAGACGAGGAGCUUGCUCCUCUGACGUUAGCGGCGGACGGGUGAGUAACACGUGGAUAACCUACCUAUAAGACUGGGAUAACUUCGGGAAACCGAAGCUAAUACCGGAUAAUAUCUUGAACCGCAUGGUUCAAUAGUGAAAGACGGUUUUGCUGUAACUUAUCAUUGGAUCCCCGUCUCAUUAGCUAGUUGGUAAGGUAACGGCUUACCAAGGCAACGAUGCGUAGCCGACCUGAGAGGGUGAUCGGCCACACGGGAACUGAGCCACGGUCCAGACUCCUACGGGAGGAAGCAGUAGGGAAUCUUCCGCAAUGGGCGAAAUCCUGACGGAGCAACGCCGCGUGGGUGAUGAAGUUCUUCGGAUCGUAAAACUCUGUUAUUGGGGAAGAACAAAUGUGGAAGUAACUAUGCACGUCUUGACGGUACCUAAUCAGAAAGCCACGGCUAACUACGUG
rnacentral:rRNA from 1 species